rnacentral:rRNA from 1 species
UACGGGGGGGGCAAGCGUUGUUCGGAAUUACUGGGCGUAAAGGGCUCGUAGGCGGUUUGUCGCGUCGGGAGUUGAAAUCCACUGGCUUAACUGGUGGCUUGCUUUCGAUACGGGCAGACUGGAGGUAUGCAGGGGAGAACGGAAUUCCUGGUGUAGCGGGUGAAAUGCGCAGAUAUCAGGAGGAACACCGGGUGGCGAAGGCGGUUCUCUGGGCACGUCCUGACGCUGGAG